rnacentral:rRNA from 1 species
GUGGGGAAUAUUGGACAAUGGGCGAAAGCCUGAUCCAGCCAUGCCGCGUGUGUGAAGAAGGUCUUCGGAUUGUAAAGCACUUUAAGUUGGGAGGAAGGGUAGUAACCUAAUACGUUGCUACUUUGACGUUACCGACAGAAUAAGCACCGGCUAACUUCGUGCCAGCAGCCGCGGUAAUACGAAGGGUGCAAGCGUUAAUCGGAAUUACUGGGCGUAAAGCGCGCGUAGGUGGUUCAGUAAGUUGGAAGUGAAAUCCCCGGGCUCAACCUGGGAACUGCAUUCAAAACUGCUGAGCUAGAGUACGGUAGAGGGUGGUGGAAUUUCCUGUGUAGCGGUGAAAUGCGUAGAUAUAGGAAGGAACACCAGUGGCGAAGGCGACCACCUGGACUGAUACUGACACUGAGGUGCGAAAGCGUGGGGAGCAAACAGGAUUAGAAACCCUGGUAGUCC